rnacentral:rRNA from 1 species
AGGGGGGCAACUCCCUGAGUACAGCGGCGCACGGGUGAGUAACACGUGGGUAAUCUGCCCUGGAGUGGGGAAUAACACCGGGAAACCGGUGCUAAUACCGCAUACGAUCACGAUGUCUGCGGACAUUGUGAUGAAAGGAGCAAUUCGCUCCAGGAGGAGCCCGCGGCUGAUUAGCUAGUUGGUGAGGUAAUGGCUCACCAAGGCUACGAUCAGUAUCCGGUCUGAGAGGACGGUCGGACACACUGGAACUGAGACGCGGUCCAGACUCCUACGGGAGGCAGCAGUGGGGAAUAUUUGGCAAUGGGGGAAACCCUGACCAAGCAACGCCGCGUGGGUGAUGAAGUCUCUUGGGACGUAAAACCCUUUCGACGGGGAAGAAACCGCAAGGUUGAC